rnacentral:pre_miRNA from 1 species
CCGUCGACAGCGCCACCGCAGCUGCGUGACGUCAGGGCCGCGUGUUGGUCUAUAGACCAACACGUGGCCCUGACGUCACGCAGCUGCGGUGGCGCUGUCGAC